rfam:Chaetomium globosum CBS 148.51 scaffold_4 genomic scaffold, whole genome shotgun sequence.
GGUUGUGUAGUGUAGUGGUUAUCACUCUGGAUUUUGACUACGCGUCUCACCUUCCAGUAACCCCGGUUCGAACCGCGGGCACGACCU